AUUGAACGCUGGCGGCAUGCUUUACACAUGCAAGUCGAACGGUAACAGCACUUCGGUGGCUGACGAGUGGCGAACGGGUGAGUAAUACAUCGGAACGUGCCUAGUAGUGGGGGAUAACUACUCGAAAGAGUAGCUAAUACCGCAUGAGAUCUAAGGAUGAAAGCAGGGGACCUUCGGGCCUUGCGCUACUAGAGCGGCUGAUGGCAGAUUAGGUAGUUGGUGGGAUAAAAGCUUACCAAGCCGACGAUCUGUAGCUGGUCUGAGAGGACGACCAGCCACACUGGGACUGAGACACGGCCCAGACUCCUACGGGAGGCAGCAGUGGGGAAUUUUGUACAAUGGGCGCAAGCCUGAUCCAGCAAUGCCGCGUGCAGGAUGAAGGCCUUCGGGUUGUAAACUGCUUUUGUACGGAACGAAAAGCCCUCUUCUAAUACAGGAGGGUCAUGAAGGUACCGUAAGAAUAAGCACCGGCUAACUACGUG
rnacentral:rRNA from 1 species